rnacentral:lncRNA from 1 species
GGAAAAAGGAGAAGAAUUACAGACAGAAUACAACACAUUGAAUUUAACCAAAGGUUUGUUAUACAACAAGGGGACUUCUGGCACCGUAAGCGGCAGAACUAUGACCCCUACUGAUAGGAAGGUGCACAUAAACAUCAUGAACUUCCUGUUUACAUACCUCUCCUCUGUCUCUGUCAACCGCAUAGCAAACAUAUACUGUGUCGAUAACGUUAUCCAAAACGUGCACGAAGAAACCAAGAACCACCAUCAGCAGCAGCCAUGCCAGAGCAGCAAUAAGGUAUGCUUCGACACCAAGAUGACUGGCAGCUCUUACCACAACAAAAACCUGGAAGCAAAAAUAACCAAACGUAUUUUUUUAUUUUUUUCUUCCUUUAAGGCGGAUAAUGAAAAGCAUUUAACCAUAUAGCAUAUAUUGUUGAUCAAUACCCAGAACGACUCACCAAUAUUGCAUAUAUUGUUGAGAGAACAAAAAUUAUUCCAGCCAGUAUGCGAGUGGAGACGGUCUCCACAAAAACUGGAGAGAGAAGAUUGCGCUUUAGAAGUUCAUACGUCAUCCUAGCAGAAGUGCAAUAUGCUUCACCAGUUAUAGCUGCAAAGUUUAUGGUGAAUUUAUUCACAAACUCAACUGCUGACAGCAAGGUAUUGGCACAAAAUCGCAGGAUAAGGUUCACAAUUCCAGAAUCUUCUUGUCUUGCAUUAUCAACCAUAGCACGAACCAUACGAACCACACAGAUUAGUAACCCAGAGAAACAUACUGUGCCCGAGGAUGGGCCAAACGCAUGUCUGCGAAUUUCCACAAAAAAAUCAUGAAAAAAGAAACUAGCACCAAAAGAAAGCUCUCGAGAAAACCAGAAAAAUUAGAAAAGAUCCAGGCAGUUAUGCUGAAACAAGAACAUAUAGCAAAGAAGUAUCGACUUCAUCAUUUAGACAUCAAUAACUUCGGCAAAGAUUUCAUCAUUAUAUUUGGAAUUAAAAAAAAAACUUCGCACCAGUCCAAACAAGUUGGGGUCGGAUAUAUGAACCCUUACAUGUUUCUCCAUUUUUAACUAAUCUCAGCCAACAUAACACAAAAUAAAAAUAUAAACAUAAAGUACUAUGAGGCCUAUAUAUUUCUACUGGUACAAAAAUCUCUAAUAGAGAACAAAGACUCCUAGAAAUCAUACAACCUAAAGUAAAUGUAUUAACCAGCUAAUUUCUUUUUUGCUUAAAUGGACAUGUAAACUACCAACUAAUUGCUAUCACUUAUACAUAUAUUUUCCUUCUAUUGUGCCCUAUCUUUCGCAGACUCUGCAUGGACUCCAAGGGAUUGUAAAUCUUUCGAAACAAUUUCCUUUAUGUCUACCUCCUCCCCUUUUAAACGCCUUCAAUUACCAUGGUCUCACACCUACAGACCUGUGAAUCAGGUGGCCGAUGCAGGACAUAACCAAAUCAGCUCAAGCGACCUUCUCAUUUUAAUCUUGUUUAAUUUUGUAUGGCUACACAUCUAUCUUAGCAUCGCAUUUCCGCGAUACUCAUCUUGUGGAUGUGUUGGACUUUAGCAGCCCAACCGUCACUGCCAUACAGCAUUGCUAGUGUUAUAUAACUGUUUUUAUAGAACUACCUUUCAUUUUGGUCUGCAUCCUUCUAUCACCUAAGGCUUCGAUAGCACUUCUAUUUUUCAACCAUCCAAUUUUGAUUUUAUGUGUAACAAUUCGUUUAUCAAGCCAUUUUCCUGGAAUAAUGAGUCUAGAUAUUUGAUUUGCUUGCAUGUAGGCACCACAAACCUGUCUAAUCAACCUCAAUUCCACUCUUCUUAUACUGACUAAACUGCAUAAAUUCAGUCUUACUACUAAUCCUAAAACUCUUACUCUCUAAAAUGUUUCUCCACAGUUCAUACUUUUGGUUGACAACCUCGCUGGCUUCAUCAAUUAGCAUAACAUGUUAGCAAAUAGUAUGCACAACAGAACCUCAUCUUGUAUUGUGUUGAUUAACUCAUCCAUAACUAGAGUAAAUAUUGUCAAUCCUGGCAGUGGCUUAUGCUUGUCUCUCCUCCCUCCCUCCCUCAACUCUCCUUCCACAUGGUUUACGGAAAAAUAAUGCCUAAUAAUAAAACAGCUAAACCAAGGGAUUUUAAAUUAGACUUAAGCUACACUUGGAAAGAGUACUUGUAGGUUUCUUUUUUGAUAAUCGAGAAAUCAGCUCCACUUUAAAUGCCAUACUUGGUUCACCAGCAACAUUCGAACUUGUGAUGCGCACCUACGACACAUCCAACGUCAUACUACCUUUGUCAUUGAAUCAAAGCCCUAUGGACAUGUUUUUCUAUAUUCUUCUUUUUUUCUUUUUUUUCUUUUCCUCCGGACACAUUUUCUGGUACUUAAUCAUACUGAUUUUGAGUAAUGAUUAAAAGCAUGAACAAGUCGAGUGGUUAAGUUCCAGUUAGUCUACAACCAUCCAGUCUAUGCACCACCACUGACUACUUGUACUGUGUUGAUUAACUCAUCCAUAACUAGAACCUCAUCUUGUAUUGUGUUGAUUAACUCAUCCAUAACUAGAGUAAAUAAUGCGAAACCUGGUAGUGGCUUAUGCUUGUCCUUCCUCCCUCCCUCCCUCAACUCUCCUUUCACAUGGUUUGAUUAGAGAGAAAGUAAUGCCUAAUAAUUAAACAGCCAAACCAAGAAAUUUCAGAUUAGAUUUGAGUUACACCUGGAAAGAGCAAUUGUAGGUUUCCUUUUUCUCUUUUGAUAAUCGAGAAGUCCGAUCCACUUUAAAUACCAUACGUGGUUUACCAGCACUAUUCGAACUUGUGAUGCGCACCUACCACACAUCCAACGUGGUACUACCUUUGCCACUUUGCCGUUGAACCAAAGCCCUAGGGACAUGUUUUUUCCUAUAUUCUUUUUUUUUAAUCCUCCGGAUGCACUUGUUGGUACUUAAUCAUACUGAUAGCUGAGUAAUGAUUGAAAGCAUGAAAAAGUCGAAUGGUUGAGUUCCAGUUAGUCUAGGACCAUCUAGUCAAUGCACCACCACUGACUACUGUCAUUCGUUACUGAGGCUUUAUGCCUAUGCCAAAGGGAAUAAAACUGCCUAAAAUGCAAGGGGCCAGCAAUGAAAUCCAGACAUACUACAAAUACCCUUCUGCUUUCCAGGAUCAGUUGCAGUGUAGAACUAUAACAGAAACAUAGCCAUUGCAUGCAAGAAGAAGGACAAUAAGGUGCUCUCUACAGUUUUUAUUUUUCUGCCAUCAUUUGCAUAGGUAAUUAAGAAUAAGCUGAUACAAUGAUAGGCACUUAACAAUCGAAGGUAAGAGUAUUCUGUUAUCACAGAAAUUUGCUGCAAAAGAAUAAGCUCAUACAAAGAUAGGAGCUUUAUAAUCAAAGUUAAGAAUAUUCUGCUAUCGUUUGCAUAGAUAAUUAGCUAUAAGAGAAUAGGCUCAUACCAAAAUAGGCACUCCACCAUCGAAGUUAAAGAGUAUGAACUAACCUCAAAGCACUUCUCAUAGACUUUUUGGGACCUGAUUCAUCCUUGGAGAAAUACCAUUGUGCAAUUGUCCCGCUUAUCACAUAAACUUGUGCCUCAAUCAUCGCCGUCGCAGACCAAAGCAUUGUUAGAAUAGCAAAAGUAUAAUAAGCAGGAACCCAUUUAUCCUGUUUCCACACACAAUAGAAAUCCCCAUUCUUUUCCUUAGGUACAACCUCUCCAUUAAACCUAGCAAAAACCAAGAAAACAACAAUGGGAGCAUAAUACACUAACAGUCCUAAAGUCAAUGUUGGAAGCACUCCAAACAACCCUAAAUUCCUAGAAAGGGCAUAAGAAGCAACCCCAAUAAUCUUAAUAGUCAACUCAAUCCUAUGCCAAUUAGCUACAAAAAUCCAAACAAGAAGCCCAAUUAACAACAACACAAAAACAAGCACCAAAAUCCUAUAAGCUAAAGGGAAAUCUUCACUACAUUUGGAGCUAACAGUACAAGCAACAAACCAGUAAAUAUCAAGAAACACAGGUACAAUUACAAAAAAGGGAAGUGAAGCAUAGACUAUCUGCUUUGUAUAACGCUUGAGCAAGAAAAGCACAAACAACACAAAGGGUAUGCUUAAAAUUAAAGUAACUACAAGGGUCCAAAUCAAACUCUUCAAAAAACUAGAAUCAGAAGAGUAAAGUUCAAAA